rnacentral:rRNA from 1 species
AGAACGAACGCUGGCGGCAUGCCUAAUACAUGCAAGUCGAACGAACACUUCGGUGUUAGUGGCGCACGGGUGCGUAACGCGUGGGAAUCUGCCCUUGGGUUCGGAAUAACAGUUGGAAACGACUGCUAAUACCGGAUGAUAUCGAAAGAUCAAAGAUUUAUCGCCCAGGGAUGAGCCCGCGUAGGAUUAGCUAGUUGGUGAGGUAAAGGCUCACCAAGGCGACGAUCCUUAGCUGGUCUGAGAGGAUGAUCAGCCACACUGGGACUGAGACACGGCCCAGACUCCGUACGGGAGGCAGCA